ensembl:lncRNA
ACUCACCCCCCCUGGGUUUUCUCUCUGCCUUGGUGUCCUGGUUUCAGACUCCCUGCUCCCUGUGCAGACCAGAGUGCCCCGGCCCCUCCCCAGCCUGAGUCUUCUCCUUGCUCUGUGGGGUGGGCCGAGGCUUGUCCUUGGUUCCUGCAGGGCUGGCCCCGGCUCGGUGGGGCGUCACCACCUCACUGGCCUUGCUGGAGGCACAGGGCUCUGCUGACCUGCAGUCAUCUGUGAGGCCCGUGGGGAUGGGAGGGGAGGAGGGUGGCCUGUUGGUUUCCCUCAGGGGGCAGGUGGCCUAGAGAGAGAGGGGCUCAGGAACUGGGAGCCUCGUGGGUGGGGCAGAUGCUCCGCGGCCUGGAGUGGCUCUGCGGGGGCAUUGGUGGGACCCCUGCUCAGGCCUUCUCUCUGGCUGCCAGCUGUGUUAAAAGACUCUUGGAAUCUGAGAACCCUGAGUCGCAGCGCCCUCGGGCCUGGGCCACACGCAGGCCUUGGUGGGACCACCCAGCCUGGUAUUGUCCACGGACAGCGUUGUUCACCCAGAGCCUUACUUGGGAGCCUCACUGAACGCCUGCUCUGGUUGAAGGUGCGGGGGGGCUUGGGACCUCCCUGGCUCAGCCCAGUGCGGCCCAGCGCUCCUCCCGCAGGCUCUGCCCCUGGGCUCUGGUGGUGCGGGGCCCUCUCAGGUUGAACUCGCCUCUUUUGCACUGGAAGGCCCUCCCUUUGGCCUGAGUACUUUUCGUGUUCACGCCUCAGUCCCAUGGACCCAGCCUUUGUCAGUGGCAGGUGCCUGAACAGAGGAUGGAUGGGGGGAUACAGGAGGGGGUCUUGUCUUCCCAGCCGCAGUCUAGGAAUGAUGCAGGGGAGUGGGCGCCUUCUCCAUAGUCUUUCCCCACCUGGAGCAGGGGCUUCCUCAGUGGCGAGGGGAGCUGCCUAUGAGUUGGACCGGGAGGCAGUGGCUUGGAGAGGCAGCUUUCCAGCCUUGGUGGGGAAGAAAGUGUCCAUUCUUUGCCUUCCUGGAGCUCCCAGCCAGAGCUGAGCUUAGGCACCCGGGUGGAGCCUGCAGUUGGGUCUGUACCCGAGACAGGCUGUCAGAGAUUCCAGAAGCCUCUCCUUCCCGCCCCCCUCCACCCCUGCCUUUCAGCGUUGUGGAUCCCCAGAGGUGGCCACCUGCCCGAUCCACCAUCCUGAGGCAGAGUGUUGAGCCUCAUACCUGUACCAGGUCCCUGGCCAGCUGGGCCCCUCCCAGGCACUGCCAGGAAGCCCCAGCUGCCCCUGGGGGGUGUGGUGGAAACGGCAGGAGGGUGCAGUCACUCUUGGGGCCCCAGUGGCGGGAGCGUGAAAGACCCAACGCCAACACCUGGUGCCUUCUGCAGCCAGCGCCCACCCGUCCGUGCCCGGACCCUUGGGAAUGCCCGCGGCUCCAGAGGAAAAAGCCCAGGGACGGGGCCUCCGUUGUGAGGGGUCGGCUUCUUGGGAGCUUUGUCGUUUCCGGCGCUGGCUGGCUGGCUGUAAAGCACUGAAGCCCCCCGGGCCGCCAACCCCUGAAAGCAGAACCCGGCCUCCCUGGCCGCAGCAGCCUUACCCACCGCUCCACGUGUCCCGGGCACUUCCUGCAGCCUUCCCGUCCCUUUCUCAUCGGCCUUGUGGUUGUACAGUGCUGUUGGUUUGAAAAGGUGACGCGUGGGGAGUGUGGCUCAUCACUGAGUAGGGAGGUAGAGUUUCUAUUUAACCAGACCUGUAGUAGUAUUACCAAUCCAGUUCAAUUAAGGUGAUUUUUUGUAAUUAUUAUUAUUUUGGUGGGACAAUCUUUAAUUUUCUAAAGAUAGCACUAACAUCAGCUCAUUAGCCACCUGUGCCUGUCCCCGCCUUGGCCAGGCUGGAUGAAGCGGCUUCCCUGCAGGGCGCCCCCCUUCCCAGCGGCUGCUUCCUGGGGCCCCGGGGCACCCCGGCACCUUCAGGCACGCUCCUCAGCUGGUCACCUCCCGGCUUUGCCGUUCAGAUGGGGCUUCUGAGGCUCAGGAGUGAAGAUGCCACAGAGCCGGGCUCCGCUAGGCAGCGUCGGGCAUGCUUGGAAGCUGUCCUGCCAGGACCUUCCACCCUGGGGCCUGUGUCAGCCGCCGGCCCUCCGCACCCUGGAAGCACACGGCCUCUGGGAAGGACAGCCCUGACCUUCGGUUUUCCAAGCACGGUGUUUCCCAAGAAUUCUGGGCUGGCGGCCUGGUGGCAGUGCUGGAGAUGACCCUGAGCCCCUCCCCGUGGGGCACCCAGGAGGGCCCUGCCGGAAUGUGCAGCCUGUGGGUAGUCGGCUGGUGUCCCUGUCAUGGAGCUGGGGUGUGUGAUCUGGUGCUCAUCCACGCAGGUGUGUGGUGUAAACAUGUAUGUGCUGUACAGAGAGACGCGUGUGGAGAGAGCUGCACACCAGCGCCACGCAGGAGAGGCGGAGCGGUUACCAGUGUUUUGUGUUUAUUUUUAAUCAAGACAUUUCCCCUGUUUUCCUAUAAAUUUGCUUCAUGUAAGCAAGUACAUAAGGACCCUCCUUUGGUGAAAUCCGGGUUCAAAUGAAUAUCUCAAGGCAGGAGAUGCAUCUAUUUUAAGAUGCUUUGGAGCAGACAGCUUUAGCCAUUCCCAAUCCUUAGCAAUGCCUUAGCUGGGACGCAUAGCUAAUACUUUAGAGAGGAUGACAGAUCCAUAAAGAGAGUAAAGAUAAGAGAAAAUGUCUAAAGCAUCUGGAAAGGUAAAAAAAAAAAAUCUAUUUUUGUACAAAUGUAAUUUUAUCCCUCAUGUAUACUUGGAUAUGGCGGGGGGAGGGCUGGGACUGUUUUGUUUCUGCUUCUAGAGAUUGAGGUAAAAGCUUCGUCCGAGAAACGCCAGGACAGACGAUGGCAGAGGAGAGGGCUCCUGCGACGGCGGCGAGGCUUGGGAGGAAACCGCCGCAAUGGGGGUGUCUUCCUUCGGGGCAGGAGGGUGGGCCUGAGGCUUUCAAGGGUUUUCUUCCCCUUUCGAGUAAUUUUUAAAGCCUUGCUCUGUUGUGUCCUGUUGCCGGCCGGCCUUCCUGUGACUGACUGUGAAGUGGCUUCCCCGUACGAUUGUCUCGGAAACAUCGUGGCCGCAGGUGCCAGGGUUUGAUGGACAGUGGCAUUAGAAUUGUGGAAAAGGAACACGCAAAAGGAGAAAUGUGAGAGGAGAAACAAAAUAUGAGCGUUUAAAAUACAUCGCCAUUCAGUUCGU